CAGUCUGGGGAGCCGCUGACUUGCCGUAGCAAUUGUGGAAGGAUUGGGGGAUAAAGGACGCUUAAUCGGGAGCUUUGGUUCGCGUUCCCAUUCCCAACCCAGCCUCCGGGGACCACAGGUGUGUAACUUGGGAAGGGGAAAGGCUCCUCAGGUGAGAUGGAGAAGCUGCACAGCCAAAUCACUGAAACCCAAAGAAUUAAUCAGAGUCCACAUGCACCUUGGGAUCACCUUCUGGCUUAUUUCUCCAAAGACUGGUGUGAAAGCUAAACUUGGUGAAAAGCCUGCCUGGGUUUUUGGCAGAAUCCAAGGGUGUUAAUGGAAAACAACCCCAGUCCACAUGGAAAAGAAAGUAAUCCCAGUCUUAACGUGAAGCUGGAAGUUUUACCAACACCUCUGGACCAAAAGAGAACAAGCAGCCAUAACAUCACUUACUUCCACAAGAGA